rnacentral:tRNA from 1 species
UCCCUGGUGGUCUAACGGUUAAGACUCUGCACUCCCAAAGCAGGGGCCCAGGUUUAAUCCCUGGUCAGGGCA